rnacentral:rRNA from 1 species
AACGCGAAGAACCUUACCUGGGCUCGAACGGCUUAAGACAAUCCUUGGAAACAGGGACUUCUCGCAAGAGACUUGAGUCGAGGUGCUGCAUGGCUGUCGUCAGCUCGUGUCGUGAGAUGUUGGGUUAAGUCCCGCAACGAGCGCAACCCUUGUCCUGUGUUGCCACUCCCGCAAGGGAAGCACUCUCAGGAGACCGCCAGCGAUAAGCUGGAGGAAGGUGGGGAUGAUGUCAAGUCAUCAUGGCCUUUAUGUCCAGGGCUACACACGUGCUACAAUGGACGGUACAAAGCGCUGCAAACCCGCGAGGGGGAGCUAAUCGCAAAAAACCGUUCUCAGUUCGGAUCGCAGGCUGCAACUCGCCUGCGUGAAGCUGGAAUCGCUAGUAAUGGUGUAUCAGAAUGAUACCGUGAAUACGUUCCCGGGCCUUGUA